CGCACGGGUGCGUAACGCGUAUGUAACCUACCUAUAACAGGGGCAUAACACUGAGAAAUUGGUACUAAUUCCCCAUAAUAUUCGGAGAGGCAUCUCUCCGGGUUGAAAACUCCGGUGGUUAUAGAUGGACAUGCGUUGUAUUAGCUAGUUGGUGAGGUAACGGCUCACCAAGGCAACGAUACAUAGGGGGACUGAGAGGUUAAACCCCCCCAACACUGGUACUGAGACACGGACCAGACUCCUACGGGAGCCACCAUUGAGGAAUAUUGGUCAAUGGAACGCAAGUCCUGAACCAGCCAUGCCGCGUGCAAGGAAGACGGUUCUAUGAGUUGUAAACUGCUUUUGUACGAGGGUAAACUCACCUACGUGUAGGUGACUGAAAGUAUCGUACGAAUAAGGAUCGGCUAACUCCGUGCCAGCAGCCGCGGUAAUACGGAGGAUUCAAGCGUUAUCCGGAUUUAUUGGGUUUAAAGGGUGCGUAGGCGGUUUGAUAAGUUAGAGGUGAAUCCCGGGGCUUAACUCCGGAACUGCCUCUAAUACUGUUAGACUAGAGAGUAGUUGCGGUAGGCGGAAUGUAUGGUGUAGCGGUGAAAUGCUUAGAGAUCAUACAGAACACC
rnacentral:rRNA from 1 species